GUUUAUGAGUGUAUUUAUGUCUGUUAGUAUAUGUGUCUGUUACUGAGUAUGUUAGUGUGUGUGUAUUAGUAUGUUAGUGAGUGUGUUAGUGCGUGUGUGUGUCUGUUAGUGAGUGUCUUAGUGUGUGUGUCUUUUAGUGAGUGUGUAUGUGUCUAUUAGGGAGUGUGUGUGUCUGUCACUGAGAGUAUAUGUUUUUGUCAGUGAGUGU